rnacentral:rRNA from 10 species
AGAGUUUGAUCCUGGCUCAGGAUGAACGCUGGCGGCGUGCCUAAUACAUGCAAGUCGAGCGAACGGACGAGAAGCUUGCUUCUCUGAUGUUAGCGGCGGACGGGGGAGUAACACGUGGAUAACCUACCUAUAAGACUGGGAUAACUUCGGGAAACCGGAGCUAAUACCGGAUAAUAUUUUGAACCGCAUGGUUCAAAAGUGAAAGACGGUCUUGCUGUCACUUAUAGAUGGAUCCGCGCUGCAUUAGCUAGUUGGUAAGGUAACGGCUUACCAAGGCAACGAUGCAUAGCCGACCUGAGAGGGUGAUCGGCCACACUGGAACUGAGACACGGUCCAGACUCCUACGGGAGGCAGCAGUAGGGAAUCUUCCGCAAUGGGCGAAAGCCUGACGGAGCAACGCCGCGUGAGUGAUGAAGGUCUUCGGAUCGUAAAACUCUGUUAUUAGGGAAGAACAUAUGUGUAAGUAACUGUGCACAUCUUGACGGUACCUAAUCAGAAAGCCACGGCUAACUACGUGCCAGCAGCCGCGGUAAUACGUAGGUGGCAAGCGUUAUCCGGAAUUAUUGGGCGUAAAGCGCGCGUAGGCGGUUUUUUAAGUCUGAUGUGAAAGCCCACGGCUCAACCGUGGAGGGUCAUUGGAAACUGGAAAACUUGAGUGCAGAAGAGGAAAGUGGAAUUCCAUGUGUAGCGGUGAAAUGCGCAGAGAUAUGGAGGAACACCAGUGGCGAAGGCGACUUUCUGGUCUGUAACUGACGCUGAUGUGCGAAAGCGUGGGGAUCAAACAGGAUUAGAUACCCUGGUAGUCCACGCCGUAAACGAUGAGUGCUAAGUGUUAGGGGGUUUCCGCCCCUUAGUGCUGCAGCUAACGCAUUAAGCACUCCGCCUGGGGAGUACGACCGCAAGGUUGAAACUCAAAGGAAUUGACGGGGACCCGCACAAGCGGUGGAGCAUGUGGUUUAAUUCGAAGCAACGCGAAGAACCUUACCAAAUCUUGACAUCCUUUGACAACUCUAGAGAUAGAGC